rnacentral:rRNA from 1 species
UAUGCUUGUAGGCGCCUCCCAAGGAUGGGGCCGCGACCGAUCAGGUAGUCGGUGAGGCAACGGCUCACCAAGCCUUUUACCGGUGCGGGCCGUGGGAGCGGGAGCCCGGAGAUGGGCACUGAGACAAGGGCCCAGGCCCUACGGGGCGCAGCAGUCGCGAAAACUCUGCAAUACACGGAAGUGUGACAGGGCUAUCCCGAGUGCCAUCCGCUGAGGAAGGCUUUUACCCAGUUUAGAAAGCUGGGGGAAUAAGGAGAGGGCAAGUCUGGUGUCAGCCGCCGCGGUAAUACCAGCUCUCCGAGUGGUGUGGAUGUUUAUUGGGCCUAGAGUAUCCGUAGCUGGCUGAGUUAGUCCCCUGUUAAAUCCACCGAAUUAAUCGUUGGUGUGCGGGGGAUACUGCUUGGCUAGGGGACGGGAGAGGCAGACGGUAUUUUCGGGGUAGGGGUGAAAUCCUAUAAUCCCGGGAAGACCACCAGUGGCGAAGGCUGUCUGCUAGAACGCGCCCGACGGUGAGGGAUGAAAGCUGGGGGAGCGAACCGGAUUAGAUACCCGGGUAGUCCCAGCUGUAAACGAUGCAGGCUAGGUGUUUGGGCGGCCACGU